AUCUACGGCCAUAUCCGCUGGAAAGCACCGGAACCCAUCUGAACUCCGCAGUUAAGUCAGUGCGAGCCGAGCCAAGUACUGAGGUGAGCGAUCUCUCGGGAACGGUCGGUGCUGUAGUUU
rfam:Vittaforma corneae ATCC 50505 unplaced genomic scaffold supercont1.152, whole genome shotgun sequence.